ACGAAGUCUGAUGGAGCAACGCCGCGUGAGUGAUGAAGGCUUUAGGGUCGUAAAACUCUGUUGUUGGAGAAGAACGUGUGUGAGAGUAACUGCGUCAUGCAGAUGACGGUAUCCAACCAGAAAGCCACGGCUAACUACGUGCCAGCAGCCGCGGUAAUACGUAGGUGGCAAGCGUUAUCCGGAUUUAUUGGGCGUAAAGCGAGCGCAGGCGGUCUUUUAAGUCUAAUGUGAAAGCCUUCGGCUUAACCGAAGAAGUGCAUUGGAAACUGGAAGACUUGAGUGCAGAAGAGGACAGUGGAACUCCAUGUGUAGCGGUGAAAUGCGUAGAUAUAUGGAAGAACACCAGUGGCGAAGGCGGCUGUCUGGUCUGUAACUGACGCUGAGGCUCGAAAGCAUGGGUAGCGAACAGGAUUAGAUACCCUGGUAGUCCAUGCCGUAAACGAUGAAUGCUAAGUGUUGGAGGGUUUCCGCCCUUCAGUGCUGCAGCUAACGCAUUAAGCAUUCCGCCUGGGGAGUACGACCGCAAGGUUGAAACUCAAAAGAAUUGACGGGGGCCCGCACAAGCGGUGGAGCAUGUGGUUUAAUUCGAAGCUACGCGAAGAACCUUACCAGGUCUUGACAUCUUCUGCCAAUCUAAGAGAUUAGACGUUCCCUUCGGGGACAGAAUGACAGGUGGUGCAUGGUUGUCGUCAGCUCGUGUC
rnacentral:rRNA from 1 species